CACGUAGGGCGCGAGCGUUGUCCGGAAUUACUGGGCGUAAAGGGUGUGCAGGCGGGGAAGCAAGGGGGGGAUGAAAUAUCCCAGCUUAACUGGGAGGGGUUAUGCCAGACUGCUUUUCUAGAGGACGAGAGAGGGGGGUGGAAUUCCGGGUGUAGUGGUGAAAUGCGUAGAGAUCCGGAGGAACCCCAGAGGCGAAGGCGGCCCCCUGGCUCGUACCUGACGCUCAGCCACGAAAGCAUGGGGAGCGAACGGG
rnacentral:rRNA from 1 species